rnacentral:rRNA from 1 species
GGGCAUCGGGAGGUCACUCCCAACCCCUGUGACAUACCAAUUGUUGCCUCGGCGGAUCAGCCCGCUCCCGGUAAAACGGGACGGCCCGCCAGAGGACCCCUAAACUCUGUUUCUAUAUGUAACUUCUGAGUAAAACCAUAAAUAAAUCAAAACUUUCAACAACGGAUCUCUUGGUUCUGGCAUCGAUGAAGAACGCAGCAAAAUGCGAUAAGUAAUGUGAAUUGCAGAAUUCAGUGAAUCAUCGAAUCUUUGAACGCACAUUGCGCCCGCCAGUAUUCUGGCGGGCAUGCCUGUUCGAGCGUCAUUUCAACCCUCAAGCCCCCGGGUUUGGUGUUGGGGAUCGGCGAGCCUCACGGCAAGCCGGCCCCGAAAUACAGUGGCGGUCUCGCUGCAGCUUCCAUUGCGUAGUAGUAAAACCCUCGCAACUGGUACGCGGCGCGGCCAAGCCGUUAAACCCCCAACUUCUGAAUGUUGACCUCGGAUCAGGUAGGAAUACCCGCUGAACUUAAGCAUAUCAAAAGCCGGGAGGAAA